AUUUAUUUUAUAUUUAUAUAGUUCCCACUGUAUUUUUAAUAUAUUUGUACAAAGCACCAUAACACUUUUGGUUUUUUAGGAAAUCACUUAAUUGGCGGCGGGAGGUAUCACUUUCUUCAAUAAUUUCAGUUGCCAACACUAGUCUAUGAAAGGUGAAUCUUGAACAGUUGAAAAAAAUGUGAUUCAUGUCGGCGUUCUCUUCGUUACAAAAAGUGCAAUUAUUGCUGCUUAUUAUGUUCAAUCUCGCAAGGUGUGCAGGUGCAGUGUUAUGACCAAAUCUGAGUCUGUUUAUUGUUGUGAUAAAGUCACGGUUCGCUAUCUUCAGCUCAUUGUACCAUGGAUUUGUCGGAAAAUCCGGCACAAAGUUGGGGACAGCCCAGUCAGAAGAUCAUGAGGUGAAGCUAAUGGACCAUCUGUGAUGAUUGGGUGAGAUCGUGGAUGAGAGAAAUGAAGCUGUCUGAACAACUUCGUCCUCUACGGAACCCAUACUGAAUUUGAGGAAUGAUGUUAUGAGAUUCUGCGUACCAAUCCAGGCGGUUCUUUAGCAUAUUUUCAAAUAUCUUACCAAUACAUGAUGAUAAAGAUAUUGGCCGAUAAGAACUGGCCUCCUCUGGUGGUUUAUCUUGUUUAAGUAUGGGUAUCACACAUUGAGUCUUCCAUGAGAUUGGUAUCAGUUUUUUAAGCCAAAGACAAUUUAAAAUACACAGUAAUAUUUUUUGGAUAGAUUCUGGUAGUUCUUUUAUUAAUAUAUACGGAAAAUCGUCCAAACCAGGGCUAGUAUUUUUUCUAGAUUUUAUACUUGUUAAAAAUUCUGACCAUGAGAAAGGAUCCAAUAGAAAUCCUGAUUGUGGAUUUUCAUUGUUCAUAUUAAAAUAAGUUUCUAACGAAUCAGGAUUAACUAAAUUAGAAUUAUCUGAUAAUUUAUCUAACAAUGGUUGCACAAAAUCAUUUUGAUAUGACUUAUUAUUGGUUCUAAUACCCUUAAAUCUUUUAAUAAGGUUCCAGAUUUUACUUAUAGGAGUAGUUCUAUUGAAAUUAUUACAAAAACUGUUCCAACUUUUACGUUUUUCUUCCUUUAUGGUGCGUUUUUUAAGAGCAUCUAUUCUUUUGUACUUAAUGUAAUUGUCUAAUGUUGGAUCGUUUCUAUAAAGUUUAAGUGCUUCAUAUGAUUUAAUAACUGCUUGUUCACACGUACUAUUCCACCACGGAGCGGGUGGCCUACUCCUAAAAUUUGUUUUAGUAAAUCUAGGAACUUCCAUUAGUUUAAGUUCAUUAAGUCGGAUACAAAACUCAUCAUAAGAUUUCAUUGGAUCCUCUUCAUUGACCAUCAUUUCAUGGAAGACUGUACUAGAUGAUUCCCUAUACUUAUUCCAGUCCGUUUUAUGGUAUAAAAAUCUGUCAUCAUAUUGAUUUAUUGUGUACCUUUCAAUGCACAUGGUAAUGUUUGUUAUUGUUGGAUAAUGAUAACUACCCAUAGCAUCAUCAUGUACAGACCAUUCACACAAGGGUGCCAAGUGAGGGCUAACAAAACUUACAUCUAUUGCUGAAGGGUUGUGUGUAGGAUAAUUUACUGUUGUAAAGCUGCCAUUAUUCAAAAUACAUAAAUCUAAUUCAUCAAUUAUAUCAUAUAAACUUUGGCCUCGACUUUUGGUGGAUAAACAUCCAAAAGCAAUAUGAUGUGCAUUGAAAUCUCCACUAAUAAAUAAAGGUUUUGGUAAAUCUCUUAUGAUAUUGCGCAAUCUAUUCAUUCGUAUGUGCCCAGCAGAUGGAGGACAGUAUACACAGAGAAUAGUUAAAGAUGACGUAUUGUCUGUAUAUACAGAUAUGGCUAUUGUUUGUAUAUCCUCAUAAAAGUUGGUAUUUAUAAUAUUGUACUUUAAAUAUGGUUUUACUAAUAUUCCUACACCAUUACGAGGAUUUUUAGAAAUUUUGUUAUAAAAAUUGUAUCCAGAAAUACGAACAGACUGGUGUUCUUUUAACCAUGUCUCAUUUAGUAGACAAAUAUCAAUAUCUUUAUCAUUUAAAAAUUUUGUAAGAAGAGGUUUUUUGUUAUUUAUCCCUUGAACAUUAAAUUGCGCAAUACAUAGAGAAGAUAUUUUUUGAGUUUGUGAAUUCAUUAUAUUGACAGACUCUUAAGAAGAACAUCUUUAAUGAAUGAUGUUGUAACAGGUACUUCAUCACUCUUAUUUGCUACUUGGACCAAUGUGUGUACCAGGGCCAUUAGUACAUCAUCAUUUCCAACGAUAAGCGACUUUAUGUUUGGUAUAUUUACAUCUCUUGAAAUAGGCUUUACAGGUUUAUUUACAAAUUUGGAUGUAUUAUUUACAUUAUUUACAUUUUUAUUUACAGGUAUGGUGCGAGUUGGCAGAGGAGGGAAAUCAACACUUUCUUUGGAAAUAGCAACACUUGCAUAUGAUAUUUUAUUUUUCUUUUCUAAUAAUUUCUUUAUUUUAACUGGACAUUGUUUAGAAAUGGCCAAGUGAGGUCCACCACAAUUAACACAGCAAAUCUCAUUUGGCUUACUACAUUCUUUAUAAAAAUGUUCACCAGAACAAAUUGAGCAGCGCUGCUUUCCGUUACAUAUUUUGGCUGAGUGAUUGAACUUAAAACAUUUAUAACAUUGUUGCAAAGGGGGAACAUAAUCAAAUACUCUAUAUGAAAAUAACUCAUAUUGCACAUUAUCAGGUAAGCUAUUUGACAAAAAAGUUAUACUAACAGUUUGUGUACCGACUAAUUCAUUACCAACUUUUCUCAUGAAUCUUCGCACUGCAAUUAUUUCAUAUGUUGAAGUUAAAUUUGUGAAAAGAUCUUUGUUCGAUAUAUUUGCUGGUACAAAUCUAAUUAUUCCUGUUUUUUCAAUUUGAGCUGCCGGGAUGUAUGCUUUCAUAUUAUAUUUUUCUAGAAAGUUAAUGUUACUUAUGAAGUUAUUGGCCGUGUUAUGUUGUUUGAAAAUCACAACAAUUUUGUUUGCGUUAAUACGCCGAAUUGCUACUACACCUUUUACGUUUGAAAAUAUACUGUUUAAAUAAA